GGUAGCGAAAUUCCUUGUCGGGUAAGUUCCGACCUGCACGAAUGGUGUAACCAUGGCCACGCUGUCUCCACCCGAGACUCAGUGAAAUCGAAAUUGCGGUGAAGAUGCCGUAUACCCGCGGCUAGACGGAAAGACCCCGUGAACCUUUACUACAGCUUGACACUGAACAUUGAACCUACUUGUGUAGGAUAGGUGGGAGGCUUGGAAGCGACGACGCCAGUUGUCGUGGAGCCGACCUUGAAAUACCACCCUGGUAUGUUUGAUGUUCUAACCUCAGCCCGUUAUCCGGGCCAGGGACAGUGUCUGGUGGGUAGUUUGACUGGGGCGGUCUCCUCCCAAAGAGUAACGGAGGAGCACGAAGGUUAGCUAAUCACGGUCGGACAUCGUGAGGUUAGUGCAAUGGCAUAAGCUAGCUUAACUGCGAGACGGACAGGUCGAGCAGGUACGAAAGUAGGUCAUAGUGAUCCGGUGGUUCUGAAUGGAAGGGCCAUCGCUCAACGGAUAAAAGGUACCCCGGGG
rnacentral:rRNA from 1 species